CUUAUCCUCUGGUCGCUUCUUCCCCAAUUCCCCACCACCCCUCCCAAUCUUUGGCAAAUAGCGCCGCUUCACUCCUCCAGCAGAAGGAACGGGACUACCCGCUGCCGAUCCCCCCGCAUCCGAGCUCUGGGCCACAUCGUGCUCGAGCCUCCUGCCAACGACACCUCCCAAUUUGGCCGCCCCGGCACAGCCCCGACCCCGAAAUCCCUCCACACCGCCCCGACCUGGAGUGAGGGGAGCCUUGCUUCUAGCGCUGCCUCCGCAUUGAUGGUCUUGGGAGUUCGACCUCGCGUGCGCUGAUCCAGAUGGUGUCCGGCAAGCUCGCGUGAGGAUAUGGAGCGACCUGGUUGCUGAUCUGCUCUGGGGCCAGUCCGGCGGUGGGUUAUCAUGCAUAUAUUUCAGAUAAUCUUGAUACUCUGCUGCCAUGUGUGCGUCGAUGCGUCGCUGCUUCUGUUGCUCAUGUGAUGGAUAUCAAUUUCCAUCUCUCUCAGCUAUGCAUUCUUUUAAUUACCAACCCACUCUUCAAUCUCGUUGAAAAUUUCAGGCCAGCAAUGUGACCCAUUUGUAACUGAAUCUUAUCUGCCAGCAUUUUUAUUGUUAGAAGCGCAAGUGCUGAGAUUGAUGUUAUGUCAACUUUGUGCAAUUGGAAAGGAGUCAGAUCGCCUGGGAAUAGGCACAAAUAUGUAUCCUUUCCUCUGAUUUGUUGCGGCAGAAGACACACCACAGAUGAGUCUAUUUCUGCUUCAUCAA